UGGGGAGUCGUCAAGCGGUAAGACACAGCACUUUGACUGCUGCAUCCGUGGGUUCGAAUCCCGCCUCCCCAGCCA
rnacentral:tRNA from 1 species